ensembl:snoRNA
GCCAUGCAAAAGCAAUCUUCCCUUCAGAAUGACUGAUGGUAUACUCAGGUUUUUCAUAGCAUAUCAUCAUUAAAAGUGAAUAAAAUA